AAAUACGAAGUCGGACCUGCCCAGUGAGUUUUAAACGGCCGCGGUACUCUGACCGUGCAAAGGUAGCAUAAUCAUUUGCCUUAUAAUUGAAGGCUGGAAUGAAUGGUUUGACAAGAAUACAUCUGUCUCUUUUUGAUUUCCUAGAAUUUUAUUUUUGGAUGAAAAAGUCCAGAUUUAAUUAAAAGACAAGAAGACCCUAUCGAGCUUUAGAGAAAUUGACGGAUUUAUUAAUCCUCUAUAGUAAUAAAAGAAAAGCCGUUAAGUAUACUUUGGUUGGGGCAACCGAGGAGCAGAUAAAGCCUCCUCUAAAUUUUAAGUCUUACUUGUGUUGAUCCAAAAGUUUUGAUCAAAGGAAUUAGUUACCGUAGGGAUAACAGCAUUAUCUUUUUCAAGAGCCCAUAUCGAAAAAAAGGUUUGUGACCUCGAUGUUGGACCAGA
rnacentral:rRNA from 1 species